CCCGCUGAGUUUAAGCAUAUCACUAAGCGGAGGAAAAGAAACUAACAAGGAUUUCCCUAGUAGUGGCGAGCGAAACGGAAAGAGCCCAGCUUGGAAAUCGGGGUGUCUCUGCACCCCGAAUUGUAGUCUGGAGAAGGGUCCUCUGCAGCGGACCGGGUUUAAGUCCCUUGGAACGGGACGCCAGAGAGGGUGAGAGCCCCGUCUAGCCCGGACCCUGCUGCAUCACGAGGCUCUUUCGGCGAGUCGGGCUGUUUGGGAAUGCAGCCUUAAGUGGGUGGUAAAUUCCAUCCAAGGCUAAAUACUGGUGAGAGACCGAUAGCGCACAAGUACCGCGAGGGAAAGAUGAAAAGGACUUUGAAAAGAGAGUUAAAAAGUGCUUGAAAUUGCUGGGAGGGAAGCGAAUGGAUGCCUUGUGCGCCCCUUGGUUGUGUGUGGAACGGCGAGAGCUGGUCUGCCAAGCAAUGCAAGGGGCUAUCCAGCAUGGGAGGACGCGGCGGGAUAAUGGCUUGUGAGCCUCUGGCUCCUUGCCAAUGCCGCCGCUGCCUCUGAAAAUGGCGGGGUGCUCCGGUGCCCUGCCAGAUGCUGGAACUUGGGCGUUCCAUCCGACCCGUCUUGAAACACGGACCAAGGAGUCUAACAUGUAUGCGAGUCUGUGGGUGCUAAACCCGUAUAGGCAAAAGGAAACUAAUUCGUGGGAUCCCCUUCGGGGGUGCACCACGGACCGACCUUGAUCUUUUGAGAAGGGUUUGAGUGUUAGCAUACCUGCUGGGACCCGAAAGAUGGUGAACUAUGCCUGAGCAGGGCGAAGCCAGAGGAAACUCUGGUGGAGGCUCGUAGCGAUACUGACGUGCAAAUCAUUCGUCAGACUUGGGUAUAGGGGCGAAAGACUAAUCGAACCAUCUAGUAGCUGGUACCCUCCGAAGUUUCCCUCAGGAUAGCUGGAGCUCUUGCUGAGUUUUAUCGGGUAAAGCGAAUGAUUAGAGGCAUCGGGGGUGAAACACCCUCGACCUAUUCUCAAACUUUAAAUAGGUAAAGCAGCCGGGGUUGCUCUGUUGAGCCCCGGCCGUGAAUGCGAGCUCCAAGUGGGCCAUUUUUGGUUAAGCAGAUCGACUAGGCCGUUUUCGGUACAUUCGUCCGAGGCAUAGGAUCAUCCGCCCGGUAACCCGGUACCGACCACGACCAAAACGAUUUCCCUAAACAAUUCCUAUGUCACCUCCUACGGUUUGGGUGUCCGGGGGGUACCUGUAUCAUGGAAGACGAGGAUUAGUAAUGCAAUCUCCGCUAGCUCUAUCUCUCAUUUUGUGAAAGUACGAAGCUAGGUCUCAAAACUAAACUGAGAUUUGCACGACUGAUGCUCGCGAGCCAAUGUACUCAGGUACAUGCCCGGGCCGCACAUCAGAAGUGACUUCCAAAGAUUAGAGCUAAGGAACAUGCUCAACCUGAUCGCUAUCCGUUGACUCAUGGAUCUCGCCGUCUGGACCAGUCGCUGUCAUCCCGUCUUUUUUCUAAGCGGAUGAUUAGAAGCUGGAACAGUCGAGAGUACAAGCACUACCUGGGCAGAGUCAGUAAGAACCCCUUGUGUCGCUGUGGUGUUUAGUUCCAGCGCUCUGGCCGAGAGAGAUUCCUACAGGCCAAGGGUAAAAGAACCGCAGCAAAACGAAUCGUUUGUACCCGUUUUUGCGUGGCCAGGAAUGCGGUAGUGAGAUUCCUCGCAACCUUAGUGGUGGGUGUAAGCUCGUUUUGAGCUAUCCCCAAACAAGCACUUCGUUGGCGCUGCUCAUUCUUGCGGUGCGCAACGAAGCGGCUGUUGAUCCUGGAGUGGGCGAGAAGUGUGCGUGGUUGUGCUAGCGCACAGCCUUGCAGCGGCCAAAGCUUGCUCUGCUUGUGGAUGCGCUCCUGGAGAAUGCGGCGGCGGCGGAUGCAAGCGAGAAACCCUAACGUUAGGGUUUUUCCCGUCGCUUCAUACCUUUCGGUGUGAGAAAAUCCAGCGCCCGCAGCCAUGAAGUCGAAUAGCUAUAGCUUGUAAUUAGGUUUGCCAAUCCGUACGGCGUGUUUCUUCGCGCGAGAUUCUGUGAGGAAUCCAAAGUUUUGUUUUUUACCAUGCCACGUCUACUCAUGUAUCCCAUUAGUUUAUUCAUGGGAAAACAGAGUUUUCUGUAAGUAAGGUUUCCUUUAAAAAUUGUUUUUAAGGAAGACCUUGCUGUGAUUAAGGCGUGGGAUCUGUCUCAGAGUGAGAGAACAGCAACUUGUGUUGUUUUUUAAUCUUUAUCAAUCAAAACACAGUUGUAGUCAGAGGUGCGCUUGCGUUUUUUAGUUCAGCGCGUGACCAAGGACUGCAUGGUAAGUUUGGGGGAACUAAUUCUUUUGUUGUUCACAGUCCAAAACGGCAUAAAUAUCGAAUCUAUCAUGUUUCGAUAUGAUGCUAAGACGAUGGGUAGUCCCGUCUAGAGGACAGAGUUCCUGGUAUUCAGCUUGAAUUUGCUGAGUCGUCGAGCUGUGGUGGCCUAUUGGCCGGUUCUCUCCAGAUGUCAAAGAGAAUUUCCAAGACUGCUUGUACCGGAGUCAGGGGGCUGGUGAGAAUGAUACGAUCCAGACCACUGAGGAUGAGUCGUCUCAAUGCAUAGCGAUGGAAUCCUUUUUCCACGAAGCAUUCUACGAGAUUAUCAAUCUCGAGGACGACGCCACCGGCGGUAUUAAUCAGAUAAAAAAGCGCAAAGACUUGCCCCAGGAUCACCUUGGAUGAAUUUGUGAUGGGUCGGUUUGAAUCUCGAUGUAUGUACAACGAGACUUUGAAUGGAAGUGAUCGGCGCUUGUCAUAUUUUGUGGUUAAGAAGGUACCAUCAACUCGUAUGAUCUGAAUCUGAAGGCUCAAGAAGUGAGCGGACAGAUUCACGAGCGAGCCGUCCGUGAAUCGUAGGAUCAUGGGGUUAUUCAUUGACACCAGAUCGUCCAUGUAUCGGAACGUAUGUUCAAAUAAGCGCAGCAGAUCAUACCGGCCUAGACGAGCGAGUCGAGUGAUAAAGUUAUACUCGAAAUAGAAUAGGUACAGGUUACACCACAGAGGCGAGCACGAGAAGCCCAUAGGAAUUCCUCGGACUUGUCUCCAUACUCUGUCACCCAGCCGGACGUAUGUGUUCCGGAUGAUGAAGUGAUUUAGCUCGAUGACUUUUGUUGGAUCCAUUCUGGUGGCCUUUACUGAUGACUGGCGUAGAGGUUUCCAUUCGGCCUCAAGCUCGCUGUUCUUCUUUUGAAUCAGAAAAAGGUCCUUAUGGAGGUGGUUUUGGUGCGCGAAAGCCAAAUUGACGAGGUUUGUCAUGGCCGUCGUGAGGCCUUGAUCUCCCUCAAGGGGGAUGGCCUCGUAGCACUUUGUGAUAUCUCCCGUAUAGAUCGUGGUGAUCUUGUCGGGGAGAUUAAUCGUGAACUCCUGUGUGGAUCCAAGGAUCCAGCACGCGUUCGUUUUCCCUCCAAAGAAUUUUGCCCGUGCGUAGAAAUCAUCGGCUACGUAUUGUAGCGCCUCCUGUAUUCCUUUCAGGAUAGCUGUGAGGCAAAUUGUGAUUUCAGAGAAGAUACAUCCAUCCGCAUUCGUUAACCAGCGCAUUUUAUUCUUAUGCGCUUUGUAGAUUCCCAUAAGGUAAGGGAGAUCUGGUUUCUGCGGCGGGAAUUCCUGUAAGGGCGGUUCACUGAGCAGUUGUUUUACAACUUGCUCAGGUGUCUCGGGGACAUUAUUGUCCGAGACUACUAGUGAAAAGUCGUCACUAUUCAUCCGCGCAAGCGCUUGCUCCCGGGCCAACGUUUUGCAAAAGAAGGUGGGUGUGUUGGCCGCUUUAUCUGCGCCACUGAUAUACAAGUGUUUAUGUACCCACUCCAAUUGCCGCUUUGCCUCAGGGGUGGUCAUCACAUCUACCAUCGGGGUGGUCUGGCAAUUUUGUACUGCCAUUCGGACCCGGUAGUUGAUAUGCUGUUUAACAGCAGCUUCGUUGCUAGGCCAGUUACGGAUGUAGACAUCGGGGAUCAUACUGGCAAUCCGAUCCCAGGCCUCACAGACUUCAGCAAUGAUUUUUGCUGUCUGGAGUGGUUUCGGGGUGAUGUGAUUGAGACCUUUCUCGAUGGCAGUCGUGAGUAUACGUGAGCCAAGGAUCUUUGGAUCCAAAGUACGCACAUGUCCAGUCUUGUCGAGGUAAGUCACCCAUGGCCAUCGUUUGCAUUCGCAAACCAGUGGUGCAUGAGUGUCCCAGUUACAAAAAACCUCUUUGGGUUUAUAGAAGUCGUGUUUGAUCUGGGGUUCAUACCUCCAGCCAAAUACGAUGGGAUCCAGGAGUUCCGCGUCUAGGCCAAUCAUUUCCAGGCAUUCCCUCAUAAGGGUGCGGAUACUGAUCCUCUCGAAUCCGGCGCUAAUAUAUCGGAGGUGUACGAAUUUUCGCUCACACUCCGUUUCCUCUUUGACCAACCAUUUACGUCCGGCCAAAUGAUGGAUGUAGUGUAAAGUACACUGUGGAAGCAAUCACGAGAGCACUUUCAUUAGCUACCAAUCAUGGAAGGAGAAAACAGAAAUUUAUUUAUCGCUGCUUUCUUGCACCGAGCCUUUUGCGUAGCCUCUGUUUGUUUGAGCUUGCAUUGGCCUCGGACGUCUUGGAAAUUGAUGGUGGUGUGCCCGUCUCCUGUGAUGUCAGUCCCGUGGAUGUUUGUCCGUCGGGACGAUCACGUUUCCGAUUAGGUGGUAAGCCUCGAGACCUUGCUGGCGUGCGUUGUGAGGACGGUGUAGGUGAGAAAGCUCCAUUGCUUUCGCUACCAUCACGUCGUGAAGUCGUUGGGGAUCGGUACUGCUGGACGGGGAUGAACUUACAUAUGUUCAUCUUGGUUUGUCCAUGCGGGAUGAACUCCAGAUCCGGGUUGGCUGGUUUUUUCGCCACCUCAAUAGCAGCUGCUUGCAUCCAUUCUCGGAUUUGAAGGAAGGCAGCUAUCUGGAGGAUCACUUGCGGAUUAGCCGUAAGUAGGGACAG
rfam:Selaginella moellendorffii unplaced genomic scaffold SELMOscaffold_78, whole genome shotgun sequence.